GACGAACGCUGGCGGCGUGCCUAACACAUGCAAGUCGAUCGGUAACGCGGGGCAACCUGGCGACGAGAGGCGGACGGGUGAGCAAUAUUUGGGAAUCUGCCUAUUAGUGGGGGAUAACCCGGGGAAACUCGGGCUGAUACCGCAUACGCACUACGGUGGAAAGCCGGGGACCGCAAGGCCUGGCGCUAUUAGAUGAGCCCAAAUCGGAUUAGCUAGUUGGUGAGGUAACGGCUCACCAAGGCGACGAUCCGUAGCUGGGUUGAGAGAACGACCAGCCACACCGGAAAUGAGACACGGUCCGGACUCCUACGGGAGGCAGCAGUGGGGAAUAUUGGACAAUGGGGGAAACCCUGAUCCAGCGACGCCGCGUGGGUGAAGAAGGCCUGCGGGUUGUAAAGCCCUUUCGGUUGGGAAGUACAGUAUUGACCUAACACGUCAGUACCUUGACGUAACCAACAAAAGAAGCACCGGCUAACUCUGUGCCAGCAGCCGCGGUAAAAC
rnacentral:rRNA from 1 species